GAUGAACGCUAGCGGCAGGCUUAACACAUGCAAGUCGAGGGGUAUAGUUCUUCGGAGCUAGAGACCGGCGCACGGGUGCGUAACGCGUAUGCAAUCUACCUUUUGCAGAGGGAUAGCCCAGAGAAAUUUGGAUUAAUACCUCAUGGUAUGUGAGAAUGGCAUCAUUUUCACAUUAAAGUCACAACGGCAAAAGAUGAGCAUGCGUCCCAUUAGCUAGUUGGUAAGGUAACGGCUUACCAAGGCAACGAUGGGUAGGGGUCCUGAGAGGGAGACCCCCACACUGGUACAGAGACACGGACCAGACUCCUGCGGGAGGCAGCAGUGAGGAAGAUAGGACAAUGGGCGCAAGCCUGAUCCAGCCAUGCCGCGUGGAGGAUGACGGUCCUAUGGAUUGUAAACUGCUUUUGUACAGGAAGAAACACUGGUUCGUGAACCAGCUUGACGGUACUGUAAGAAUAAGGAUCGGCUAACUCCGUGCCAGCAGCCGCAGUAACAC
rnacentral:rRNA from 1 species